AACGAAUGCUGGCGGCGUGCUUAACACAUGCAAGUCGAACGCGAACGUUUCCUUCGGGAAACUAGUAGAGUGGCGCACGGGUGAGUAACGCGUAAGUAAUCUACCCUCGCAUCUGGGAUAACCCACCGAAAGGUGUGCUAAUACCUGAUACGUCUGGAAUUAUACAUUGAGUUCAGAGAAAGGUGGCCUCUUCAUGAAAGCUACUGUGCGGGGAGGAGCUUGCGUACCAUUAGCUAGUUGGUAGGGUAAGGGCCUACCAAGGCGAUGAUGGUUAGCGGGUCUGAGAGGAUGAUCCGCCACACUGGAACUGGAACACGGACCAGACUCCUACGGGAGGCAGCAGUGAGGAAUAUUGCGCAAUGGGGGCAACCCUGACGCAGCGACGCCGCGUGGAUGAUGAAGGCCUUCGGGUUUGUAAAAUCCUAGUCAGAUGGGAAGAAGUGGUAAAUGUACCAAUACAUAUUUACCUU
rnacentral:rRNA from 1 species